AUUUCCAUUACUGCAGUCAUCACAAUAGAAAUAGCGGGCAUGCAUCAAGAUUUAGGGAUCAUAAGUAUCACAAGGGACUGCCUCUGUGUUGGUGACAGACAGUGACAUGAUGUCGAAGGAGUGCUUCUCGAAAAAGAGUUGGGGUGACUGAUUGAUCGAUACCAGUGCAGGUUGUCAAAUGGAAGGACUGCAACAAUCAUAGCUCUGCCAGAACUACCGCCUCAAAAAGCUACUUCUACUGAAUGAUGGUUCCUUACUGAAAGUGAAAAAAAAAGAAUUUUGCCUCACAGCUACCACAGGAGCCAAGAAGAUCGCUCUGCAUGGGCAAUCUUCAGCUACUCUCCCCCAGUGUCAGUUGGCCCUGUCCUUUUUGGAUGUUUUGUUUCUGGACCUUUCCACAGUCCAGAAUCAUGGGGCUGGAGACUAGACCCUUUGCCCCUGGAAGUCUGCAAUAGAAAUUCUCCUGUAGCUUUUUAUAGAUUAUUUUUUCCCUCUUUUUCUAACUUUUUGAGUGUUCUUUCUUUUAGCCGUUUCCUUUUAUACUAGUUUUUUUUAUACUAGUUCUUAAACGGAAUUUUCAUGAUAUACAUUUGUGAGUAUGGGCCAGUUUGCCUUCCUAGGUGGUGGAGGUUGGAGUAGGAGGAAGGUUUGGGGACUGGGAUUAGGGUUUUUCCGCUGGUGGUGUUAGGGUUAGACGUUCUUACUGUACUCUCUUUGUGGUAUGCUAUUACACAAUUAAAAAAUAGUUCACAAAAAGAUCCGGUUCAGGAGUAGAAGAUGACUACACUUUAUCUUCAGCUAUUCUGAGAGUUUCAACUUGAAAACUUUCAAUCGCAAACAGCCUAAUAUUAGAGCAUCUACUCUCGAGUAGCACUUUGA